CUCACUAGGUAGUUAAACGUCACUAUUAUCAUCACCCCCAUUUUGCAGGUGAAAAAAUAGAGGCGCAGAGCCUUGGCCCUUGUACACAGAUGGAGUGGCAGUGCCUGGUAGGGAACCUGAGUUGCUCUGAAUCCCAGAUCUGUGCUGAGCAGACAGACAAAGACAACUGCCCUCCUCCCCAGCUGAGAAAGAAUGAUCAAGACCCCAUGGUGGGACAUGUCCUGAGUGACUGAGCCCCCACUGGAUGUGGGGUGAGCUCAUCAGGCUGGAAGCUGCGGGCUGACGUCAUGGCUGGGCACAGAAGCCUCAGCUCUCUCUGUAAUUACAGCUGGGCGGGGCCGGCUGAGUUGGAAGCCAGUUAUGGGGAUCAUUCGCAUGAUGCACCGGAGAAAUCUGGUCCUGCCUGGGACCUGGGCAGGGGCUGGAGCCACCCCAAAACCUCCAGAGGACUCCUCUGCCUAAAACAAGGCUCAGUUGGGACCAGGAGACCCGGAAGGAGGGGAAGCCUGGUGAGAGAGCAGGGAACUGAACUGAGAUGACUUAAUCCACCUUCUCAUUCAAGGAUGAGGGGGAGGAAAGGGAGGACGCAAAGUAAGAAAGAUAAGUUCCCACCCGCCCCUAGGGGAUUCCCAGCCCCCAGCCCCUCCCCACGUUCUGAAGACCCGUCUCCGUCUCUGAGUUGGUUCUGUUGGGUGGCCCUGGAUUCCAGAAAAUAGGAAGUAAGCAUGCUCACGCCUUUUUAUUCCUUUUGUUUCUCAGACCCCCUAAGAUAAUGCUAAUGGAAUUUCCAGCACGUUCGGCUCCGUGACAGCAGGACCCUUGAGUGUCCUGUUCAUGGAGGUAUCCCCAGUGCCCAGAGGGUGCCUGCUGCACUGUAGAAGCCCAGCGUAUCUUGGAUGAGUAGAUGAUAUCGUAUCAGCAACCCCCGGUCUGAUUUGCCCAGCUCCCCACUGGGUAGACUCUACAUGCAGUAAUAACAUCAGAAGAAAAUAUAUAUAUAUAUUUUGAGAUGGAGUUUG